rnacentral:rRNA from 1 species
AAAUUGAAGAGUUUGAUCAUGGCUCAGAUUGAACGCUGGCGGCAGGCCUAACACAUGCAAGUCGAACGGUAACAGGAAGCAGCUUGCUGCUUCGCUGACGAGUGGCGGACGGGUGAGUAAUGUCUGGGAAACUGCCCGAUGGAGGGGGAUAACUACUGGAAACGGUAGCUAAUACCGCAUAACGUCGCAAGACCAAAGAGGGGGACCUUCGGGCCUCUUGCCAUCGGAUGUGCCCAGAUGGGAUUAGCUUGUUGGUGAGGUAACGGCUCACCAAGGCGACGAUCCCUAGCUGGUCUGAGAGGAUGACCAGCCACACUGGAACUGAGACACGGUCCAGACUCCUACGGGAGGCAGCAGUGGGGAAUAUUGCACAAUGGGCGCAAGCCUGAUGCAGCCAUGCCGCGUGUAUGAAGAAGGCCUUCGGGUUGUAAAGUACUUUCAGCGGGGAGGAAGGUGUUGUGGUUAAUAACCGCAGCAAUUGACGUUACCCGCAGAAGAAGCACCGGCUAACUCCGUGCCAGCAGCCGCGGUAAUACGGAGGGUGCAAGCGUUAAUCGGAAUUACUGGGCGUAAAGCGCACGCAGGCGGUCUGUCAAGUCGGAUGUGAAAUCCCCGGGCUCAACCUGGGAACUGCAUUCGAAACUGGCAGGCUUGAGUCUCGUAGAGGGGGGUAGAAUUCCAGGUGUAGCGGUGAAAUGCGUAGAGAUCUGGAGGAAUACCGGUGGCGAAGGCGGCCCCCUGGACGAAGACUGACGCUCAGGUGCGAAAGCGUGGGGAGCAAACAGGAUUAGAUACCCUGGUAGUCCACGCCGUAAACGAUGUCUAUUUGGAGGUUGUGCCCUUGAGGYGUGGCUUCCGGAGCUAACGCGUUAAAUAGACCGCCUGGGGAGUACGGCCGCAAGGUUAAAACUCAAAUGAAUUGACGGGGGCCCGCACAAGCGGUGGAGCAUGUGGUUUAAUUCGAUGCAACGCGAAGAACCUUACCUGGUCUUGACAUCCACAGAACUUUGCAGAGAUGCGAAGGUGCCUUCGGGAACUGUGAGACAGGUGCUGCAUGGCUGUCGUCAGCUCGUGUUGUGAAAUGUUGGGUUAAGUCCCGCAACGAGCGCAACCCUUAUCCUUUGUUGCCAGCGRUYCGGYCGGGAACUCAAAGGAGACUGCCAGUGAUAAACUGGAGGAAGGUGGGGAUGACGUCAAGUCAUCAUGGCCCUUACGACCAGGGCUACACACGUGCUACAAUGGCAUAUACAAAGAGAAGCGACCUCGCGAGAGCAAGCGGACCUCAUAAAGUAUGUCGUAGUCCGGAUUGGAGUCUGCAACUCGACUCCAUGAAGUCGGAAUCGCUAGUAAUCGUGGAUCAGAAUGCCACGGUGAAUACGUUCCCGGGCCUUGUACACACCGCCCGUCACACCAUGGGAGUGGGUUGCAAAAGAAGUAGGUAGCUUAACCUUCGGGAGGGCGCUUACCACUUUGUGAUUCAUGACUGGGGUGAAGUCGUAACAAGGUAACCGUAGGGGAACCUGCGGUUGGAUCACCUCCUUA